GUGCUUGCUUUAGCAGCACACAGACUAAAGCUGGAACAUACAGAGGAGAUUAGCAUGGCCCCUGCACAAAGAUGACAUGCGAAUCCGUGAAGCGCUCCAUAUUUUU
ensembl:snRNA U6 U6 spliceosomal RNA